rnacentral:tRNA from 1 species
GAGGGUAUAGCUCAAGUGGUAGAGCACAUGCCUAGCAUGUAUGAGGUCCUGGGUUCAGUCCCCAGUACCUCCU